rnacentral:rRNA from 1 species
AAAGACUUGACGGUACCUCACAACACCCUAGAGGAGCCUGUCCAAUAACCGAUACUCCACGAUUAACCCAACCCCACCUUGCCAACAGUCUAUAUACCGCCGUCGCCAGCCUACCUUAUGAAAGAAACAAAGUAAGCAAAAUAGCCACACACUAACACGACAGGUCGAGGUGUAACUUAUGGGGGGGACAAAGAUGGGCUACAUUUUCUAACACAGAACACACGAAUAAACUAUGAAAAAGAAACUGAAGGCGGAUUUAGCAGUACACAAAGAACAUAAUACUUA